ACGCCGAGCCAUACAAACAAUACCUAUUGUAAAAGUUUUGUUCGUUCGGCUCGCGUUA
rnacentral:pre_miRNA from 1 species